rnacentral:misc_RNA from 1 species
UGUAAAUGUCCCACCAUUUCUUGAUCAUCAUCUUGAUGUCUUCUCUGUCCAUGUUCUUUUCUUUCCCAGUAUACCUCCAUGGCUUGGAGCCAGCUGCACAGUAGUGAACAACCUUGAGCUUGUCAAGUUCAAUAUUCUCAGGAUGGCGCCAGAGCAAGGCCAAAACGAGGUUGUAAAUUGGAGGAAGUGGCCUGAAAAUGUCCUUGAAGAACAUGUUCAGGAAAUCCUGCUCAGCAAAGAGAGUAGGAGUGGUAACUUUGACAGUACUCAAGAGAUCAUGGUAUGUGGACAGAUUGGGUUCAAAAACAAACAUGCCAGCGUUGAAGUAAAGGGGAGGUUUAGGACCCAUCUCAGUAGGCCACUGAACCCUAUCAGGGCA